AUCUCUUGAUUUACUGUCUUUCAUGUGCGCAGCGACCCGAGGAACGGCUUCCAUCGUGUCCGAGUUCAUGAUGUACUUUACCGUCAUCGGCCUGCAGGUGUGGCUGCUCAUAGAGAUGAUUUACUGCUACAGGAAAAUAGCAGCUCAUGGGGAGGAAGCAUUACGAGAAGCGGCAAAUGCUGAAUAUUUAGCUAUAGCCACGGAAGGUAAAGACAACUGUGGGGGUGUACAGGUCGGAGAAUAGCAGGUAUGUGUGUGAUCCUAAAGAUUGCUUGGUUUUUAAAUGUAAUACUUGUUUCGUCAAUAAGUAAGUUGUGUCCAUAUAUUAGCUUUUAAUAUUGAAAACUGUCAAAGGCUAAAGGCCGCAUUUAAUACUGGCUCAGAUUCAUCAUACUCUACUCAUGCGAUGUUGUUUGGAGAUAAAGCUAUAACCUUUACUCUUUUGUUGAUGUAGACAGAGUGCAGAUUAAGAACAUUUUGAUUUUCUACGUGUUUCUUAAUGAGCCUAGAAAGCGAUUUAAAGAACCUAGACAGUCAAUCUUAGUAUCUUGCCCAUGGAUAUGUUGACUGCAGGGGCUUGGAAUCAAACCAUCAACCUAAAGUCUAUGGUAGGAGAAACACUUUAGGGGUACAUCUAGGGUUGGGUAUCGUUUGAAUUUCCACGAUUCUGAUUCCGACUCUGAUUCUACUUUUCGAUUCCGGUUCUUAACGGUUCUCAAUUCCGAUUCUUUGAGGGGCAAAAAAAAUUACAUUUAUUCGAGAAAUUUUUACACAGGUUAGUUUACAGUAAUAUUCACAUUAAUCAGUCUGUUUAUAUUCACUGCUAUGUAACUGUAACCUGAGAACCACUGAAGCUACAACAGUGCAACAGUCCAACUUUUAAAGGAACCCCCCCCCCAUUUAAAAACAGUUCUUGGUGAGAAAAA